rnacentral:misc_RNA from 1 species
GGCGGCCGGAGGGAGGGCG